UAAAUUUUAAACCCUUUUUUUCUCUAACUCUCUCCCCUCUCUCUCAAACCUACGAUCUAUAAUCCUCCUCGCAGCGAGCUUCUUCUCCGGUGUUUCCCUUCAUCAAGCUCUUCUUCGGUGGUUGACCGUCUUCGGUGUCGCAUAAUCUCUACCUCAUUCGUCGAUCAGUCGUUCAUCUAAUUUGUCGCUUUCUUCCAAAAUCAACACCAACGAUGUACAUAUAAGAAAUUAACCAUCAUUCCUUCAUUGAUCUCUUGUCUCUGACCGAUUUUGAAUGCAUACCCUUCGCGCCUCCAAAAUUUCGUCUAAAUAUGGAGUUAAUGAUCAUUCCUUUAUCGAUUUCCCGUCUCCACCUAAGUCCUUCGUUGUAAUCGGUGAAGUGGACACAAUGUAAGAACUGCAUUAUAUGGGCAAAAUGCACCAAUUUAGAGUGAGAUGUAAAUAAAUAGUCACAGGAUGUGCCAGUAAGAUCCUAUAUGUCUGAAGGCUUAAAUGGGUAAAUAUUAUAAAUAUGUUUGUGAUUUAGUUUGGAUAGAAAUCAACAAAAAAUGGAAAUAAAUUGCUUUGAAUUUGAUAAUAGGGAUAGCCCUCUAAGAAAGAGUUAUAAAUUGCCACCUUCUUGGUUUAACCAAAAUAUCACCUUUUGAUGUUAAUGUUGGUAAAUUAUCUACCAAUUACAAGGUUAGUAUAUUACUAUAUUUCAUUUCAAUCAUUUUGUGAAUAAGUUUCUAUAUUCAUUAUUUUUUUUUUCAGCCGUGUGUUGGCAUUGAUAAAAUAUUUUUUUGGUUUAUAUUCCUUUUUUUAUUCUUUAACAUGUGAUUAAUUGGAAGCAAGAAUAUAAAUGUGUAUCAAUUAAUUGGUCAAUGAUAAUAAUCAAUAACAAAUCAUUUGUUAUUUGUAUGAAUUGAUAUAAUAUUUUACUAAUUAAUUGGAAGUAAUACUACAAGUGUGUAGUGAUUCACAUGUAUUUACAUGUAAAUCACAUAUGAAUUACAAAUGAUUCACAUGUAAAUCUCCUGUAAUUUUCAUAUUAAUCAUAUAUAAUUCACAUGUAAAUCAUAAAUGCUCUCUGUUGUAAAUUGUAAUAGCAACUCUGUGGAUUCUAUAAAGGAAUUUGUAAGCAAAGGAUACCAAUCAAGAUUACUACCUCUUCCUGUCAGAUAACUUUUCUUUUUUCUUUUUAUCAUUUAUCAUUAUCUUUUUUGUCCUUUUUUUUAAAUGUUGAAAUUACAUUGACUAUGUUGACCAGGGUGAUGCUGACUUUAUUUGUGGGGGUCCACCAUGUCAAGGAAUAAGCGGUCAUAAUCGAUUUAGAAACUACACUGAUCCUCUAAAGGAUCCCAAGAAUCAUCAAGUUGUGGUUUAUAUGGAUAUAAUUGAUUUUUUAAAACCAAAAUUUGUUUUAAUGAAAAUUAUGAAUAAACAACCUAGAAUGUGCAGGUAUAUAGGUACUAACUUGGUAUGUAUACAUGUAUAUAUUUUUUUCACAUAGUUGUUUACUAACUUGGUAUC